AGUUCCGUGGUGUAUAACACAUCGGAUUGCAAAUCCGAAGGUGCCGGCUAAUAGCCGACCGGGACUU
rnacentral:tRNA from 1 species